rnacentral:rRNA from 1 species
AACGGAGGAGGCAAGCGUUAUCCGGAAUUAUUGGGCGUAAAGCGUCCGUAGGUGGUUAUUCAAGUCUUUUGUUAAAUAGUGGAGCUCAACUCCAUAGAGGCGGAGGAAACUGAGUAACUUGAGUGCGGUAGGGGUAGAGGGAAUUCCAGGUGUAGCGGUGAAAUGCGUAGAUAUCUGGAAGAACACCAGUGGCGAAGGCGCUCUACUGGGCCGUAACUGACACUGAGGGACGAAAGCUAGGGGAGCGAAAGGG